UUGGUGUCUUCUGGUGGACUUUUGUAGAAUCAGUUUUGCCAUCUUGAAAUAGGUACGACAUCUAGAAGGAGAGCAAAGCAAAAGCUCUUCCCUGAUGGGGGCCAGGAAGAGGAUGUCUGGGAAGCCAAUUGUAGUAUGAUUUUCAUCUGGAAGAUGGGAA
rnacentral:lncRNA from 1 species